rnacentral:tRNA from 1 species
GCGCCCGUAGCUCAGUUGGAUAGAGCGCCGGACUUCGAAUCCGUAGGUCGCAGGUUCAAGUCCUGCCGGGCGCG